UGCACAGCACAAAACACAAAGCAACCACUGGGGAGUAUGUGAUUAACUGGACACCAACUCCAGAGAACUAUGGCCAACAUUUUCCAUUUUGCUUUAUUGCAGAAGGAGAAGAUGGGUCAAACAUUUACCAGUCUGAAAUGAGGUGUGUCAUUGUAGAGGUGAAUAAAAUUGGACCGACUACAACCACAGUUGCACCGACUUUGCCAGG